GGCACGAUAAGCCCGAGCUGCUGCAGCGAGCGCUGCGCAGAGCGGAGAGGCUGCUGGAGAUGCAUGACGUCUGCUUCUGAGUAGCGGUUAGCGACGCGAUGGAGCGAGCAAGGGAUCGCUUACACCUGAGACGAACUACAGAACAGCACGUGCCAGAGGUGGAAGUCCAAGUCAAAAGAAGGAGGACAGCCUCACUGAGCAACCAAGAGUGUCAGUUAUACCCAAGGCGUUCUCAGCAGCAACAGAUUCCUGUGGUGGAUUUCCAAGCGGAACUGAGACAGGCCUUCUUAGCUGAGACACCAAGAGGUGGUUAAAGCAUUAUUGGAACAUCAAGGUAGCUGAUUUCAGGAAUAAAACCAGGAUCCACCCACUGUUUGUGAAGCUUCUGCCCAGCUUGCAUUGUUUCUAGGAGAACCUGCAUCAUACCUUUAUAUAUAGCCUUCCCCUAGGUAUUAAGGAUCCUGAAAUCUUAACUGUCAACACCGGAUUUUGUGGAACAGCAAUCAUGACUGUGGGCAAGAGUAGCAAGAUGCUGCAGCACAUCGACUAUAGAAUGAGAUGUAUCCUGCAAGAUGGCCGUAUCUUCAUUGGCACCUUUAAGGCUUUUGACAAGCAUAUGAAUUUGAUUCUCUGUGAUUGUGAUGAGUUCAGGAAGAUCAAGCCAAAGAAUGCAAAACAGCCAGAGCGUGAAGAAAAACGGGUUUUGGGUCUUGUGUUGCUGCGUGGGGAGAACUUAGUAUCCAUGACUGUGGAGGGGCCACCUCCUAAAGACACUGGCAUUGCUCGGGUACCACUUGCUGGAGCUGCAGGAGGUCCAGGGGUUGGGAGGGCAGCAGGCAGAGGAGUACCAGCAGGUGUACCAAUUCCCCAGGCUCCUGCUGGAUUAGCAGGCCCUGUCAGAGGAGUUGGAGGUCCAUCCCAGCAGGUAAUGACUCCACAGGGAAGAGGCACUGUAGCAGCUGCUGCUGUUGCUGCUACUGCCAGCAUUGCUGGAGCCCCAACCCAAUACCCACCAGGACGGGGGACUCCACCCCCACCUGUAGGUAGAGCAACCCCACCUCCAGGCAUUAUGGCUCCUCCACCUGGUAUGAGACCACCAAUGGGCCCACCAAUUGGACUUCCUCCUGCUCGAGGGACACCAAUAGGCAUGCCCCCUCCAGGAAUGAGACCCCCUCCACCAGGUAUUAGAGGUCCACCUCCCCCAGGAAUGCGUCCACCAAGACCCUAGGAUACUGUUGAUCUGUAUCAGUCACAUUUUGCCCUGCAAUGCAUCUUGUGAAUUUGUGUAGACUGUUUGUGAGCUUUUUGUCCCCUCUUUCUGCAUUAAUGAUAGCUAAUAAUAAAUGCAUUGAGCAAUUAAA